rfam:Oryza nivara chromosome 10, whole genome shotgun sequence.
AGAAAGACAAACCCUGGAUUUACGUGUCUAACUUUGACUGUCCGUCUUAUAUGAAUUUUUUUUUUAUAAUUUGUAUUUUUAUUGGUGUUAGAUGAUAACACAUGAUUAAUACUUUGUGCGUGACUUUUUUUUUUAAUUUUUUUUCAUAUUUUUUUCAAAUAAGACGGACGGUCAAACAUUGGGCACGGAAACCAGGGUUUGUCUUUUU